UCUAAUCUUACGUCUUCGCUUAACAUCCACCGGCGUGCACCUUCCCGCAAAUUACUUACCAAAAUCUCCCUAAUUAUCAUUAGUUUACUUACCAAAAUAUUCCUAAUUACUUAAAUCUCUUAUACUACCUGAAAGGGGGAACGAGUAUCUCCUCCUUCUGGCCAUCGCCGCCGCCACAUAGCACCGGCAGCCUCCACCGCCGAUUGGCGCCGCUAUGACGCUGCCGGACUCCACAUACUCCCCAUCUCCUCCCUCUAUCGCCAUCGCCGCUGCACAAUACAGUCUCCUCCCUCUUCUGAUUAGGAGACACCCAAUGUCUCCGCCUGGACUGCCUCCGAUCCCUGCCGUCCUACAUCAGGAUCACCAUGGCGCAUCGCCAUCAGCAGCAAUCGGCUACAUAAGAACGAAGUUCCUUCGAGUCCACAGCCACCGCGCGGCCUCAUCUCCGGUAAGCCUGGCGGCGGGUGCAGCGUCCGGACAAUCUGGAUCCUCACGCCCCAUGACGCGAUCUACCCUUUCCAGUGGUGGGGAAAUGGAGGCGCGUGGGAGGCGGAAGGGGCUGGGAAGGGCGUGAAGAUGCGACUGUCGGCUGACUACGAGAAGCCCAUGCCUUUGCCGGCAAUUUGAGAAGAUGCUGAGUACAAUAAUGGAAAUUGGACAGGUUAAUCGACCAAUAAUCAUGGUUUAUGGUGGAACUACUAAGGUAAUAUGUUACCCCUGUUUUCUUGCUGUUAAAUUUACUGGUGCAGAAUGCUCUUUGUUUUGAUAUAUUGUUUUUAGAUUAAUUUGUGAAAGUGACUCAAAGCUAUGAUAAACUAAACUGCUUCUGUGACAUACAAAUGGCUCUCCGUACAAGUAACAAAGUUCACUGUAGCUUCCCAUAUAAUAUGUUAAAUGUGUGUUGGUUCAGUGUUGUUUACAUGUUACAUGUUACUGAUAGUUUUCAGACUUUGAGAUUUUUUUUAAUGCACCUUGGACACUUUCAGGCCAUAUGCCUUAAAUAUUUGCUUUCCAGUUAAGUGUGUCACCUUUGAAUGCCCCUAACCCGGGGCUGAAACAGCGGGGUCAAAGGA